rnacentral:rRNA from 4 species
UCUCAAAGAUUAAGCCAUGCAUGUGUAAGUAUAAAUAAUUCUACUUUGAAACUGCGAAUGGCUCAUUAUAUCAGUUAUAGUUUAUUAGAAAAAAUGUACUACUUGGAUAACCGUAGUAAUUCUAGGGCUAAUACAUGAGUAAAUCCUCGACUUUGAAGAGGUGUGUUUAUUAGUAUGAAAACCAUAUGCUUCGGCAUGAUAGUGAGUAAUAAUAACCUUUCAUAUCGUAUGUUGAAAUAACGAUAGUUCUUUCAAGUUUCUGCCCUAUCAGCUUUCGAUGGUAGUGCAUUGGACUACCAUGGCAGUA